AUGCCGAGGAAGCGCAAAGGAGAUGGUGACGGAAUCGAUGAGGUUCCUUCGAAAAAGGCGAAACGCCCUCCUCCGCGGAACAGAGCCUCACCCAGUUCGCUUCUUCUAGCAUGCAAGGACAUGAAUGAUGACAGGAAGGCUGCCAUUGAUGAUAUGGAUUUAACUAGCCUUCGGAAUAUCCAGUGUGACCAUCUAUUCAACAAUCUCAAUGUGUGGCUUGCUGAUCUCUACGAACCCAAUUCGCGUGAGGUGGUCGUACCAGGCCGAGGCAGGCUUCCAAUCAAUGAGGAAUAUGUGCAUCGUGUUAUGGGCGUGCCGCGUGGAGGGAAGGAUGUCCCUUACAACCUCCCUACUGAAGCUGAUAUUGAGUUAGGGCUUGAGUUGUUUGGUGAGCUUGGAUAUGCCCCUAAAAUGACUGAUCUCGUUGAUCUCAUAAAGGGUUCUGAAAGUUCUGAUGAUACUUUCAAGCGUAUGUGGCUUCUGCUUGCGGGGAAUACAGUCAUUGCCCCUACCACCUCCAACAAAAUUAGCCUCCGAUGGUAUGAUGUGCUGCGGGACAUCGAUGGUAUUAAAAACCUCAAUUGGUCCAAAUUUAUUGCUGAUGAACUACACAAGGCGUUGCUGAAACGCAAGCCUACCAGGGGUUGCCUUCUCUUCUACAAUCUACUGUACAUUCAUGCGAUUGGUCUUUCUGGACUUGGCAUCGUAUUUCCUGAUGGUCCUUUUCCCAUCAAUGUCUGGACAAAGAAGCUGAUAACUCUUGUCCUCAACAAGGAUGCUCAGGCUGACAAAGUUUCUUUCGGGAAACUACCGUUGAAGCCUGAGUUUGGCAUGAAUUUCUGUCUGUUUGGUGGUCUGGAAGGUCUUGACAAGUUUAUGCGUGUUCAUACUGCCCCAAGCUGCAGUCAGGAGGAAUUUGUCAAAUCAACUCAAAUAGUUGCUCGGUUCACGUCCGCCAUGGCUGGCAUCAUAGGCAAUCUUGUGCAAUCAUUCACCGCUUUAGAUGAUGAGGGCCAUUCAGAUGCAUCCCGUCAGCUAGACGCUGGAUUGAACGUUCUCUCUUCUGCCACCCGUUCGACGUCAAGGACUACGCGCUCAUCGCAAGGCAGGCGGCCAGAAAGCCCUGGAAAGAAUGUUGCUGAAGAUUUUGACAGUGAUGACGAGUAUCAUGGAGGCAAUGAUUCUGAUUCUGACGCUGACUCCGAUGAUGAUGAUGAUGAUGAUGAUGAUGAUAUGGACUAUCGAGUUGUUCGUCGUCAUAGUAAAGAUCAUUUUGUUGCUUUGGGAAGUGGUACCAUGGAUGUAGAUACGGGCAGCGGUCCAGCUGAUGAUGACACCACACAUCUAGAUGGUGCAACUGUCAAAGCUCAUGAUGGCACAGGAGCACAUGUUGAAGACACGCCUGUCCGCCCUGUCGAUGAUAACCUCAAUGAGUCUCAGAUCAUACUCACUGGCACAUCUCAUGUAGCAUCCGUCGAAUCAGGUGAUGGAGGGCUUAGCCAGCAAGGUCUGACAGAUACGCAAGCUGAGGCGGCCACUGAAUCUUCUGUCAAGCGGUGUGGUACUCAGCUUGUGAAAAAUUUGGCUUAUCAGAGGCGCAAGAAACUGAGGCUGCCAUCACCCUCCCGUUCAGCUUCACCAACUGUGCCAUCACCCCCCGUCCAACUUCACCAGUCGUGCCUCCCAGCCCAUCACAAAGGUCGUGUUCACCAAUUGCACUGUCAGCAUAUGAGAUUCAUUUAG
rnacentral:rRNA from 1 species